rnacentral:snRNA from 1 species
AGCUUUGCGCAGUGGCAGUAUCGUAGCCAAUGAGGUUUAUCCGAGGCGCGAUUAUUGCUAAUUGAACUGAGGCCUGAAUGAUUAGGAGCCAGCAGCAAUGGGAAGAUGCGGGGAGAGACAUACCAGGCAGCGAACAAGGCAUGUGCAAAUGCCCUGAGGCA